rnacentral:rRNA from 1 species
AAAUUGAAGAGUUUGAUCAUGGCUCAGAUUGAACGCUGGCGGCAGGCCUAACACAUGCAAGUCGAACGGUAACAGGAAGCAGCUUGCUGCUUUGCUGACGAGUGGCGGACGGGUGAGUAAUGUCUGGGAAACUGCCUGAUGGAGGGGGAUAACUACUGGAAACGGUAGCUAAUACCGCAUAACGUCGCAAGACCAAAGAGGGGGACCUUCGGGCCUCUUGCCAUCGGAUGUGCCCAGAUGGGAUUAGCUAGUA